rnacentral:rRNA from 1 species
UACGGAGGAUGCAAGCGUUAUCCGGAUUUAUUGGGUUUAAAGGGUACGUAGGUGGAUUGGUAAGUCAGUGGUGAAAGUUUGCAGCUUAACUGUAAAAUUGCCGUUGAAACUGCCGGUCUUGAGUGCAAAUGAGGUAGGCGGAAUGCGUCGUGUAGCGGUGAAAUGCUUAGAUAUGACGCAGAACUCCGAUUGCGAAGGCAGCUUACUGGGGAUGCAACUGGCGCUGAGGCACGAAAGCGUGGGGUAUCAAACAGGGAUUAGAUA